ensembl:piRNA 21ur-1367 ncRNA
UUGGAGUUUGGUUUAAAAUGC